GAUCGAGUAAAGGAAAAAGGAAGGGGACAUUUACAGGGAGAUUCUUUUCCGAGUGCAGCGGCGUAUCUAUUCGGUACACGGAAAUAAAAAAAAAAAUUUAUAAACGAGGAGGUUGGCCGUUGCUGUGACAGAGAGGUGUCGAUAGUUUGAGAGAGUAGGUGUUGAAAAGGCAGAUUCCUCCAAGGCCCAUUGGCGGAGGUUUCAACCCAUUAGCCCCCAAAACCAUUUCCUCUUAAAUUCAAUUCACCAACCCAUUUCAAUCGUCUCUCAUUCAUACACCUCUGUCUUCUCUAGAUCUCUCUCUCAAGACUUACAAGAUGGCAGCAACAUCAGCAGCAA
rnacentral:misc_RNA from 1 species